rnacentral:rRNA from 1 species
ACUCCUACGGGAGGCAGCAGUGGGGAAUAUUGCACAAUGGGCGCAAGCCUGAUGCAGCCAUGCCGCGUGUAUGAAGAAGGCCUUCGGGUUGUAAAGUACUUUCAGCAGUGAGGAAGGUGGAUAUGUUAAUAGCAUAUUCAUUUGACGUUAGCUGCAGAAGAAGCACCGGCUAACUCCGUGCCAGCAGCCGCGGUAAUACGGAGGGUGCGAGCGUUAAUCGGAAUUACUGGGCGUAAAGCGCAUGCAGGUGGUUUGUUAAGUCAGAUGUGAAAGCCCGGGGCUCAACCUCGGAAUUGCAUUUGAAACUGGCAAACUAGAGUACUGUAGAGGGGGGUAGAAUUUCAGGUGUAGCGGUGAAAUGCGUAGAGAUCUGAAGGAAUACCGGUGGCGAAGGCGGCCCCCUGGACAGAUACUGACACUCAGAUGCGAAAGCUGGGGGANCGAAACAGGAUUAGAUACCCUGGUAGCUCU